rnacentral:rRNA from 1 species
UACGUAGGGUGCAAGCGUUGUCCGGAAUUAUUGGGCGUAAAGAGCUCGUAGGCGGUCUGUCGCGUCUGCUGUGAAAACCUGCAGCUUAACUGUGGGCUUGCGGUCGAUACGGGCAUCACUGGAGUUCGGCAGGGGAGACUGGAAUUCCUGGUGGAGCGGUGAAAUGCGUUGAUAUCAUCAGGAAUACCGGAGGCGAAGGCGGCUCACUGGGUCUCUUCUGACGCUGAGGAACGAAAGCUAGGGGAGCAAACGGG